rnacentral:rRNA from 1 species
UACGAAGGGGGCUAGCGUUGUUCGGAAUCACUGGGCGUAAAGCGCACGCAGGCGGAUCGUUAAGUCAGAGGUGAAAUGCCGAGGCUCAACCUCGGAACUGCCUUUGAUACUGGCGAUCUUAGAGUCCGGGAGAGGUGAGUGGAACUCCGAGUGUAGAGGUGAAAUUCGUAGAUAUUCGGAAGAACACCAGUGGCGAAGGCGGCUCACUGGCCCGGUACUGACGCUCAGGUGCGAAAGCGUGGGGAGCAAACAGG